AAAAAAACAAAUCCUGAGUUUCCGUGUUCAAUUUUAACUGUCCGUCUUAUAUGAAUAAUUUGUAUUUUUAUUAUUGUUAGAUGAUAAAAUAUAAUUAAUAUUUUAUGUUUGACUUGUCUUUUUAAUUUUUUCAUAAUUUUUUCAAAUAAGAUGGACGGUCAAACGUUGGACACGGAAACCAAGGUUUGUCUUUUUU
rnacentral:pre_miRNA from 1 species